rnacentral:rRNA from 1 species
CCUACGGGUGGCUGCAGUGAGGAAUAUUGGUCAAUGGGCUUACGCCUGAACCAGCCAAGUCGCGUGAGGGAAGACUGCCCUAUGGGUUGUAAACCUCUUUUGUCAGGGAGCAACGCCGGCUACGUGUAGCCGGACUGAGAGUACCUGAAGAAAAAGCAUCGGCUAACUCCGUGCCAGCAGCCGCGGUAAUACGGAGGAUGCGAGCGUUAUCCGGAUUUAUUGGGUUUAAAGGGUGCGUAGGCGGGAUGCCAAGUCAGCGGUAAAAAUGCGGUGCUCAACGCCGUCGAGCCGUUGAAACUGGCGUUCUUGAGUGGGCGAGAAGUAUGCGGAAUGCGUGGUGUAGCGGUGAAAUGCAUAGAUAUCACGCAGAACUCCGAUUGCGAAGGCAGCAUACCGGCGCCCUACUGACGCUGAGGCACGAAAGCGUGGGUAUCGAACAGGAUUAGAUACCCCUGUAGUC